rnacentral:rRNA from 1 species
UACGUAGGGGGCUAGCGUUGUCCGGAAUCAUUGGGCGUAAAGCGCGUGUAGGCGGCCUUGUAAGUCCGUUCUGAAAGUCCGGGGCUCAACCCCGGGAGGCGGAUGGAUACUGCAAGGCUCGAGUCCGGAAGAGGCGAGUGGAAUUCCCGGUGUAGCGGUGAAAUGCGCAGUAUAUCGGGAGGAACACCAGUGGCGAAGGCGACUUCCUGGCCUGUUACUUGAC